rnacentral:rRNA from 1 species
UACGGGGGGGGCAAGCGUUGUUCGGAAUUACUGGGCGUAAAGGGCUCGUAGGCGGCCAACUAAGUCAGACGUGAAAUCCCUCGGCUUAACCGGGGAACUGCGUCUGAUACUGGCGAGCUUGAGUGCAGGAGAGGAACGCGGAAUUCCAGGUGUAGCGGUGAAAUGCGUAGAUAUCUGGAGGAACACCGGUGGCGAAGGCGGCGUUCUGGACUGCAACUGACACUGAGAGACGAAAGCCAGGGGAGCAAACGGG